rnacentral:tRNA from 1 species
AGGGGUGGAGCUUAGUGCUGGAGCACAUGCUUAACAUGCAUGAGGUCCUGGGUUUAAUGCCCAGCACCUCAA